UACCUGAGACUGAGGAAACAGCUGAGGGUUUUUUUUUUUUUGGUGGGCGCGAAAGUGUUGCACUGACAGGCGCGCGCUCCGACUGGGCACGAGAACCAGGGACACUUUCUUGAUACACACAUACACGCGCGCGCGCACAAACACACACACACACACACACACUCGCGCGCGCGCAAACACACACACACACACACACUCACACACAGAGGGAUGGCGAAAGAGACACGAGAGAAAGCAGGGAGAGAUUUCUCAGCAGAUAGCUGCAUUAAUCCAUGCUGACGGAUUCACCGUCACAUUUUUCUCCAGUCUGUGCAUUAUCCCUCCAAAGACGAAUCUGUAGUGCCGAGAGUCUGUCUGCUACAGACGCCCGGCAGAUGACAGGUACACCCCGCGGCACAGAUGUACAAGACAAGAAAUUGUUCACUGUUCACCCUGCUGUCGAGAGAGCGUGAGAUCAGGAGAGCAAGAUCGUCCGGGUGGAAGCUGUGGACUGAGACACUAGCCAGUCGGC
ensembl:lncRNA